rnacentral:misc_RNA from 1 species
UUGGGAACAUGUGAAUCGCACAUUCUCCAACAGACUUCUACAUCUGAUACUGAAGAACAUAGAUCCAAAUGUAAUGCUAAAGAAGAAAUCACAAAGGACCAAACAACUAGCACUAGGCAACUCAAAGCAAAAGAUAAUAUGCCUUCGUUUGAAUCUCCUCCAAAAAGAGUCUUUCAUGAAAUCAGGUUGCUUUAUGUUACACAUGUUGUUUGGUGGCAAAAAUCAGUGGUCCAUCAGUGCUUCCUAUGGCCUUCGACAACUGAAGCAAAGCGAGAUAGUAAUGGAAGAAGAAUUGAAAAGAUCAGGCUGCUUGCCAUCAUAUAUAUAUACAUGGGAGGAGGAGGAAUAGCUUCCCUUGCUGUGAGGACUUGCGGCUCGACAUCAUUCUCACUUUCUUCCCACAAUCUCAUGGGGUGGAUGAUCGCCAUAGCCUUCUCUCCGACUUCCAGGUUCUGUACUCCUACCAAGGGGCAACGUGAGGUGUCCACAGGGGCGAGGCCGUGCCUCCGUCCCGCCGCCCCCGACAAUGAUCCCCACCGGCACUUUGAUCCAAAGAGAGGUCAUUAUCCAAAAGUUGGGAGGGAUGGAGUCAACUAA